UAUCGGCUCAGGUCAUGAUUUUCUGGGGUCGUGGGGUGAAGCCCCAUGACAGGCUCUGCUCUCAGUAGGGAGUCUGCUUGAGAUUCUCUCCUUCUCCCCUCCCCCUUUUCUCUCUGCCUCCCGCCCCAUGUAUACACGCACUCUCUCUUUCUCCGAAAUAAGUAAAUACGUCUUUUUUAAAAAACCUGUAAGGAAGAAAGGGGAAUAAACAUUAAAUAAUCUUUUUCCAGAAGUGUUAAUAGAAUUUGUGGCUGCUUUGAAGAAAUACUUCAUAAAUAUAUUGCCUCUCCCCUCUGUCAGCCACGCCCACACAGACAUUACUCUUCAUGAUCUUAAAUGAAGAAAAUAAUGCAUAACAGGGCAGAUUCCAUGACUUGCCCAAAGUGCAGAGGUUGACCAAUCUCAUUUACACUGCUUCUAUGCAUGAUUGAAUUCCCAUGAGUCAUUUCCAUCUUCAGCAUGAGAGAGAAAGUUCGGUGGAACUAUAUUAAAAUGAAGACCAAACAGGGAGCCUCCAGGCCAGGCUCAGCCUUUCCCUAACCUGCAUCUUCCAUGGCUGCUUUCUCUCAGCAUAGCUCAGGACCUGCACUGUUGGCAUCCUGCAGUCCACAGUGAGCAGAUAUAACGGACUCACAUAAUAUACUUAAAAUGAGACAGAGACAGAGCCAGUGGGGACGGGCAGAAGGAAAGGGAAAAGCAGACUCCUUGCUGAUGAAUACAGAGCCAGACUUGGGGCUUGAUCCUAGGACCAGGAGAUCAUUACCUGAGCCAAAGUCAGAUGCUUGAUGGACUGAGCCACCCUGGCACCCCGAUGAGAAAAAAAAUUUCAACAUACAACCCUUUUCCUUUUCCAUAAGAUGUGUUGAUUGUGUAUUUUUACCGGGUAUUCUCUCACUUGUUCAUUUUGGGACUUGAUAAAAAUAUUCCAGAAAAAAUUAGCUUAAUGUUCAGUGAUAUUAGAUAAGGUUGCCAAUUUGAGGAACUUGAAAAAUAUUUGUGUAGGAGAAAAUUUUCAUCCAUAGUCAAUAUGUCAUAUUCUUACAUAAGAAGAUAAAACAUUUUUUCAAAUGGAUUUAAAAGGCAUAUGACCAUGUUCUGUGCAAAAAAAAAAAAAAAAUGCUUUCUUUAGUUUUCUGAGAACUCAAAAUGACCAAAUAGUUUUUUUGUUCGAAUUGAACUGCAUAUUAACCAGAGGGUUUUCAAAUUUGAGCUUGAGUGGCAAUAUGCCCUGAUGUGGCAAUUGCUGAGAGUUCUCACUGGGCCCAAGUCCAUUGCCGUUUCCUUGCAAAGCAAGACAUCGUCGCUGUGGGUCAGGUCGGCUUCAUCCUAUCACACUGAAGGUUAGCAAAUGAUUUUCCCAGCUGCUGUUUAAACAUCUUAUUUGUCCUUCUGGCCUCAAAGAGAAAUAUUUUUCUAAAAAUGAUGGUGUUAAGUUUUCUGUUUGUAAACAUUUAUUAGAACAGACAGUGAGCGUUCAUCUACUAGAUAACAAUAAACCAAAGGCUUACUCUUCAGUUUUGAUCUGUGGGGUUUUUUGGUACCAAAACAGGUAGUAUAAUACAGUCAGA
rnacentral:lncRNA from 1 species